rnacentral:rRNA from 1 species
UACGAAGGGGGCUAGCGUUGCUCGGAAUUACUGGGCGUAAAGCGCACGUAGGCGGCUCUUUAAGUCGGGGGUGAAAUCCUGGAGCUCAACUCCAGAACUGCCUUCGAUACUGAAAAGCUUGAGUCCGGGAGAGGUGAGUGGAACUGCGAGUGUAGAGGUGAAAUUCGUAGAUAUUCGCAAGAACACCAGUGGCGAAGGCGGCUCACUGGCCCGGUACUGACGCUGAGGUGCGAAAGCGUGGGGAGCAAACAGG